rnacentral:misc_RNA from 1 species
GUGAGUCAUCGAAUCUUUGAACGCACAUUGCGCCCUUUGGUAUUCCGAAGGGCAUGCCUGUCUGAGCGUCAAUAAAUCAAUCAAACUUAUGUUUGGUAUUGGGGGAAGUGGCAUUGCCUCUCUCCUGUAAGCUAUUGGCGGCGCUGCUUCAGCUUGUAAGACGUAGUAAGUAAUUCCUCGUCAAAGCGACUGUGUAGCUGCCUGCCAACUAAACGAUUUAUUUAACAGCUUGACCUCAGAUCAGGUAGGGAUACCCCCUGAACUUAAGCAUAUCAAUAAGCGGAGGA